ACACGAAAUGACAAAUUAACGGUGAUAACAACAGUUUGAUUAUUUAAGUACAAAGUACUGCUGUAUUUUGGUCUUAUUAUGGAAACAAAUGUAGCGUAUUACACGUUGUAACUCAUGCGCCGUGAGAGAUCGUUAGGUGUGACACGGGAAAGUAUCCAACUUAAUUACAUUGUUUUCUGAACUAUAUGUCUUUGCUCUUGUGACAGGUAAAGUAAUGAAAUGCUUUUCCGCUAGGUGGCAGCAGAUGGUUAUAACAACUAAAAGAGGCGUGAGACAGCCGUUCCUAUCAGCGUUGUGUUCAGCUGAACAGGCCCAAGUUUCAUGAAGAGUUUCACUCUUAAGGAACUUGCUCCUGUAGAUCACCUGACCUGAAACAACAUGUCAGUAAACCAAUGCAGUAGAUCCAAACGUCCGUGGACAGAUCUUUCUGAAAAAACCCAGAUCUGACCAUCUGUGAAGGUGAAGCUGUGGAUCAGUGACAUCCCAUCAAACCAGUGAUUGUAUUUGGAGUUUCCAACAGAGAAGAGCCCCGGUCCGUUCCGCAGCAGAGUUCCCUUUAGCCAUGGUGGGAUGGAGCCUGUGGGAUGCAGCACAAACACCAACACACAGCAUCCUUCAUGAUGUCCUCAGUGAUAUGGACAACGAUGUCACCCAUCUCCUAAAGG